rnacentral:lncRNA from 1 species
UGUAAUGACUCAUUAGGCUGUCCCCUAAUAAUACACAGGACAUCAACAACAGUUGAGUGAAAGAAACAGAAUAUGGGACAGUCUGAGAAAAUAUAGGAAGAAGACAUCUUUUUUCACAUAUGCAAUCACAUUGCAAAAAAAUUGCAGGAACGUAUCAUUUGCUGUUUCUCAAAGCAUGGCAAAGCUGUUGAGUUCGUUUCCCAUCAACCUGAACUCAAUCAACUUCAGUUGAUGGAUGGAAGGACAAGAUUCACCUGAGAGAU